rnacentral:rRNA from 1 species
UACGUAGGGUGCAAGCGUUAUCCGGAAUUAUUGGGCGUAAAGAGCUCGUAGGCGGUUUGUCGCGUCUGCUGUGAAAACUGGAGGCUCAACCUCCAGCCUGCAGUGGGUACGGGCAGACUAGAGUGCGGUAGGGGAGAUUGGAAUUCCUGGUGUAGCGGUGGAAUGCGCAGAUAUCAGGAGGAACACCCAGCGGCGAAGGCGGCGCUCUGGGCCGGAACUGACGCUGAGGAGCGAAAGCGUGGGUAGCAAACAGG